GUAAAAUUAUAAGGUUGAAAAGCGCGAACAAUCCUUCUCAAUCUUUCACAACACCAGCGCUGCUCUCAGCCUUAACCAGAACCUCCCUUUCUAGCCGAACGUGAGUUAUCAUUUCCCCAGCCUCCUGCCUUCGCUGCCCUCGCAGAACGGGCAGCUGCCGCCUGCUCCAGCCGCGGCCGAGCGCAUUUUCCGCGCAUUUUCCGCGCAUCUCCCCGCGCCGCGCAACCGGCCGCUUGGGCAGCGGGCAGCCCCUUCUCCUCCCAGCGCCGCAACUCGUCUGUCGCACUUCAAAGGGUGAUAACCUAAUUGCUUCCAGAGUUUAAAAGUAAUUAAGCUAUAUUAAAGGAACUUAAGUAAAACCGGUUUGCCGCGCACUGGGUCCCCUUGUCCUUCAGAAGACAAGAUAUCCAUGGCACAGAUGGGCAUUCAGACUGGAGAGAAGAAGACAGAUUUCUUCCUACCCAUGGUGACAACUUGGAUGCCCACUUUCCAACCAAUUUUCCUGGGAAAUUGAGAAAGCAAGCACUGUCUCUGCAUCCCAGCAGUGCUGAGGCACAGCUGCCUUUCCCCUGGCCUUGCUGCAUCCCAGGGAGUGGAGCGAGGGAAGUGUCACACAACUCUGCUCUUCCCACUCCUCAUCCCAUGCCUUCCUAACAACACGUGGCAGCACCACUCACAGCCUCCCCAAAGGAAAGGAGGUACCAACACAUUGCAGCCCCAGCUGCAG